UUUAAUAUUUUCAACGAUUUACGAAAUCGAAAAUGAUUUUAGAAUUUUAAGUUGAAAAGAAUUUGAAUUACGAAAAUUGAUUGAAUUUAUAAAACGAUCUUAUUCGGUUUUGGAUUCGAAUCCUAAAACUAAAUUCCUAAUUCUAGCCCAAUUGACAAAGCCCAAACAAUAAAGCCCAAAACUUCUCUCAUCCCUUCUCUACCUCUAAUGCACGUGAAACAAAAAAAAAAAAAUUGAACAAAGCAAAACCCUCCCACAACUUCACGUGAAAAAGAAAGGAAACAAAUCUCCCAAACCCUGCUUCACCAUACACGUGAACUCCCAAGCUCUAUUCAGUCGUCGGCCGUCGUCACCGUAGACCCCUGCACCCCUUGCUUCACCACCGUCGACGUGCUCCUCUCCCCUUUGCCGCCAGCCGCCGCGUGCGCAGCCGCGACCCCCAGGCCAACCACCACCUGCAUCUUCGUCGCAGCCCUGCUCAGCCGACACCCUCUUCGAUCUCUCUCCUCCUUCGCGUAGAAACCAUCUCCUCCCCUGCUUGUUUCUUGCGCAAGCCAGCCGGCCGCCGCCACCGUCAACCAUAGCAUUGCCGUUGCCGUGCCGCCGCGCCACAGCACCACCUCCGGCCAACCACCCUCCCUUCCUUCUCUCUUUUGGCGGAGAAUUCUCUGUAGGCGACGUUUGAAUUAUUAAAGUGGUCUUGCAGUUUGUUUACACAAGUCUCUAAGGAUCAAUAAGCAUUGCCCAUCUACAGGUUUGAAGAUGAUGCAUCAUUGGGAUCGGGAUUAGAGAGCUUGUAGUUCUGUUUGUUUAAUCAAGUGAUUCAAUUUGUUAGCUUGGAAUUGAAACUUGUCGCACCAUUCGUAUUUCCUUAUUUCAGUUAAUUGUUUUGGACCUAAUAUGUAAUAAAUUAAUUAUGAA